AAUGAGAGAACCUGAAACUAGAAACUCCCGUGGAUUUGGUUUCAUUAGCUAUGAUUCCUUUGAGGCAUCUGAUGCAGCUAUUGAGGUGAAUCUUGUUGAGUGGCUAAAAAUAAUGGUAGGUGCAAGAAGUAUGGAGUAUGAUGAAUGGGCCAAUCACAGGUAGGCGUGGAAAUUGGAAUCUGCUGCCAUUAUAGAGCCUUCAAUAAAUGGUGCAAUGUUUUCAUUGAGACAUAUCGUGUCUAUUUCUAAAUUAAAUUAGGAACUAAUCAAAGGAAGAUUCAUAUUUCACAUUCUAGGUCGAUACCUACAUUAAAAGUGGUAUAGUUAUUGGGCUGGGGUUUGGUAUAGCUUCUUGAUUGGCCAUGCAGUAUAUAGGUCUGCAACUUGGAGUAGGUGCUUUAAAGGAUAUAGUGGGGAUACCGACAUGUAACUAGUGUUCUGCCCAUAUUGGUCCAAUUUCUGUUCUGGCAUGGGUACCCCUCAGUGAACUAUUGAUCCAUAUGUAGCUGGAACUACAGAAAGAGAGCAAAAAGCUCCUACAGAAGCUUCCAAAGCUAGACUCCAAUGAGGCUAUGAGAGCAGCAAAGCUAGACUCCUUAAGUAAAUUUCUGGAUGUAUAUAGGAGAGUAGUAUUAGAUGUACUCCUUUUGUGGAUGAAAGAUUACCUUUACACAAUCUAUUUUGGUGCAUGAUGUGGAUUAUAACAAUUUCUUCUAUAUAUUGAUCAACUACUAUUAAUUUGAUUA